CGGCGGACGGGUGAGUAACACGUGGGUAACCUGCCUGUAAGACUGGGAUAACUCCGGGAAACCGGAGCUAAUACCGGAUAGUUCCUUGAACCGCAUGGUUCAAGGAUGAAAGACGGUUUCGGCUGUCACUUACAGAUGGACCCGCGGCGCAUUAGCUAGUUGGUGAGGUAACGGCUCACCAAGGCGACGAUGCGUAGCCGACCUGAGAGGGUGAUCGGCCACACUGGGACUGAGACACGGCCCAGACUCCUACGGGAGGCAGCAGUAGGGAAUCUUCCGCAAUGGACGAAAGUCUGACGGAGCAACGCCGCGUGAGUGAUGAAGGUUUUCGGAUCGUAAAGCUCUGUUGUUAGGGAAGAACAAGUGCAAGAGUAACUGCUUGCACCUUGACGGUACCUAACCAGAAAGCCACGGCUAACUACGUGCCAGCAGCCGCGGUAAUACGUAGGUGGCAAGCGUUGUCCGGAAUUAUUGGGCGUAAAGGGCUCGCAGGCGGUUUCUUAAGUCUGAUGUGAAAGCCCCCGGCUCAACCGGGGAGGGUCAUUGGAAACUGGGAAACUUGAGUGCAGAAGAGGAGAGUGGAAUUCCACGUGUAGCGGUGAAAUGCGUAGAGAUGUGGAGGAACACCAGGUGGCGAAGGCGACUCUCUGGUCUGUAACUGACGCUGGAGGGAGCGAAAGCGGUGGGGGAGCGAACAGGAUUAGAUACC
rnacentral:rRNA from 1 species